AUGGUGAAGCUUGUGUUAGAUGGUUGCAAAAAUCUCGAGAAGCUUCCUCCACUGUGGCAGCUGCCAGCUCUACAAGAUGUCGAGAUUAGGCUGGGGACAGAAUCGUCUAGUGGAGUUAGCACCGUGUGUCGUUCUGCAUUUCCAGCAUUGAAGGAAAUGGAAUUAGAUGAUUUGGAUAUCUUUCAGAAAUGGGAGGCAGUCGAUGGAACUCUAAAGGAGGAGGUAGCAUUUCCUCAGCUUGACAAAUUAACAAUCAACGAGUGCCCAGAGCUGACUACUCUACCUGAAGCACCAAAACUAAGUGUCUUAAACAUACAUGAAGGCAAUCAACAAAUAUCCCUACAGGCAGCUAGCAGAUAUACUACUUCAUUGUCCAGUCUCCAUCUGCAUUUGUCAACUGAUGGCACAGAAACAACAUCGGUGGCCAAGCAACAAGAUUCAAGUGAAUUGGUGAUUGAGGAUGAGAAAUGGAAUCAUAAAUCUCCCCUUGAACUUAUGAACUUAAAUGGGUGCAACCUUUUAUUCUCUCACCCAAGUGCGCUGGCUCUCUGGACAUGUUUUGUUCAGCUCAUAGAUCUGAAUAUUCGGAAAGUCGAUGCGCUUCUCUACUGGCCAGAAAAGGUGUUCCAGGGCUUGGUUUCCUUGAGGAAGUUAGAAGUCCCCAACCUACCUGCGUCUCUCAAGCUAUUAGACAUUAGGGGGUGCCGUGGCCUGGAGUCCAUCAUAUUCAAUCAGCAGCAGGAUAGGACGAUGUUGGUGAAUGCAGAAAGCUUUGCACAGCCGGAUAAGUCAUCAUUAAUAUCAGGCUCCACCAGCGAGACCAACAAUCGCACCCUUCCACGCCUGGAAUCUCUAGUAAUAUGGAACUGUGAUCGUUUGGAGUCCCUCUCAGGAAAGCUGGAUGCCGUUCAAGAAUUAAAUAUAGAAUCGUGCCAGAGCUUGAAAUCACUGGAAUCUUGCUUAGGAGAGCUCCCGUCGCUGCAACAACUCACCCUUUUUGAUUGCGAGAGCCUGGUAUCCUUGCCGAAGGGGCCUCAAGCAUACUCAUCUCUUACAUCUCUUACAGUUAGUUAUUGUUCUGGUAUAAAGGUGCUUCCACCGAGCCUGCAGCAACGUCUGGAUGACAUCGAGGAGAAAGAGCUAGAUGCCUGCUACGAAGGUAAUCUCCACUUUCUUCAUUUCUUUUAAUAAUAAGAAC
rnacentral:lncRNA from 1 species